AUUGAACGCUGGCGGCAUGCUUUACACAUGCAAGUCGAACGGCAGCGGGGUAGUGCUUGCCCUACUGCCGGCGAGUGGCGAACGGGUGAGUAAUAUAUCGGAACGUACCGAGUAAUGGGGGAGAACCAAUCGAAAGACUGGCUCAUACCGCAUACGUCCCGAGGGAGAAAGCGCAGGAGCGCAAGACCCCGCGUUAUUCGAGCGGCCGAUAACUGAUUAGCUAGAUGGUGGGGUAAAGGCCUACCCAAGCGACGCUCAGUAGCGGGGCUGUGAGGACGAUCCGCCCCACUGGGACUGAGACACGGCCCCGACUCCUAAGGGAGGCAGCAGUGGGGAAUUUUUGACAAUGGGGGCAACCCUGAUCCAGCCAAGCCGCGUGUAUGAAGAAGGCCUUCGGGUUGUAAAGUACUUUUGUUAGGGAAGAAAAGGGAAGUGCUAAUACCACCUUUUGCUGACGGUACCUAAAAGAUAAGCACCGGCUAACUACGUG
rnacentral:rRNA from 1 species